rnacentral:rRNA from 1 species
CCUACGGGAGGCAGCAGUAGGGAAUCUUCCACAAUGGACGAAAGUCUGAUGGAGCAACGCCGCGUGAGUGAAGAAGGGUUUCGGCUCGUAAAGCUCUGUUGGUGGGGAAGAAAGAUAGAGGUAGUAACUGGCCUUUAUUUGACGGUAAUUACUUAGAAAGUCACGGCUAACUACGUGCCAGCAGCCGCGGUAAUACGUAGGUGGCAAGCGUUUUCCGGAUUUAUUGGGCGUAAAGGGAGUGCAGGCGGUUCAGUAAGUCUGAUGUGAAAGGCUUCGGCUCAACCGGAGAAUUGCAUCGGAAACUGGUGAACUUGAGUGCAGAAGAGGAGGGUGGAACUCCAUGUGUAGCGGUGAAAUGCGUAGAUAUAUGGAAGAACACCAGUGGCGAAGGCGGCUCUCUGGUCUGCAACUGACGCUGAGGCUCGAAAGCAUGGGUAGCGAACAGGAUUAGAUACCCCGGUAGUC